rnacentral:miRNA from 1 species
AGCCAGUUAUUAGUCUGGCAAUGUUGUAUGUGAAUGUUGUGUCACAUACAACAUUGCCAGACUAAUAGCUGGCUAU